rnacentral:rRNA from 1 species
AGUGAACGCUGGCGGUAGGCCUAACACAUGCAAGUCGAACGGCAGCACAGUAAGAGCUUGCUCUUACGGGUGGCGAGUGGCGGACGGGUGAGGAAUACAUCGGAAUCUACUUUUUCGUGGGGGAUAACGUAGGGAAACUUACGCUAAUACCGCAUACGACCUACGGGUGAAAGCAGGGGAUCUUCGGACCUUGCGCGACUGAAUGAGCCGAUGUCGGAUUAGCUAGUUGGCGGGGUAAAGGCCCACCAAGGCGACGAUCCGUAGCUGGUCUGAGAGGAUGAUCAGCCACACUGGAACUGAGACACGGUCCAGACUCCUACGGGAGGCAGCAGUGGGGAAUACUGGACAAUGGGCGCAAGCCUGAUCCAGCCAUACCGCGUGGGUGAAGAAGGCCUUCGGGUUGUAAAGCCCUUUUGUUGGGAAAGAAAAGCAGCAGGUUAAUACCCCGCUGUUCUGACGGUACCCAAAGAAUAAGCACCGGCUAACUUCGUG